rnacentral:rRNA from 1 species
GAUGAACGCUGGCGGCGUGCCUAAUACAUGCAAGUCGAACGCACAGCGAAAGGUGCUUGCACCUUUCAAGUGAGUGGCGAACGGGUGAGUAACACGUGGACAACCUGCCUCAAGGCUGGGGAUAACAUUUGGAAACAGAUGCUAAUACCGAAUAAACCUCAGUGUCGCAUGACACAAAGUUAAAAGGCGCUUUGGCGUCACCUAGAGAUGGAUCCGCGGUGCAUUAGUUAGUUGGUGGGGUAAAGUCCUACCAAGACAAUGAUGCAUAGCCGAGUUGAGAGACUGAUCGGCCACAUUGGGACUGAGACACGGCCCAAACUCCUACGGGAGGCUGCAGUAGGGAAUCUUCCACAAUGGGCGAAAGCCUGAUGGAGCAACGCCGCGUGUGUGAUGAAGGCUUUCGGGUCGUAAAGCACUGUUGUAUGGGAAGAACAGCUAGAAUAGGGAAUGAUUUUAGUUUGACGGUACCAUACCAGAAAGGGACGGCUAAAUACGUGCCAGCAGCCGCAGUAA